CCGAUACUCGUACGUGAAGUCCACCAAACUCGUGCUCAAGGGAACCAAGGCCAAGAGUAAGAAGAAAAAGAGCAAAGAGAAGAAGAGAAAAAGAGAAGAAGAUGAAGAAACUCAACUUGAUAUUGUUGGUUCUUUGACUCUGCACAUAUAGACAAAUCUCUGUUUCUGGCUCAUCAUGGCUUCCACUUCAAGUUUCCGCCCUUGCCAUCAACUUGUCUUCUGUGUCACUCACUCGUUCUUCUCCCUCGUUA